UUUUUAAUUGAGAUCUUGUAUGAAUGGCUGGACAAAAGAAACACUGUCUUUAUAUUAAAAAUUGAAUUUAACUUUUAAGUGAAAAGGCUUAAAUGUUCUAGGAAGACGAUAAGACCCUAUAAAACUUUACAUUAAAAUUAAUUUUUUAUGAAAUUUUUAAAAUAAAAAUUUGAUUUAGUUAGUUUGUUAUGUUGGGGAGACAAUAGUAAAAUUUUUGUUAACUGCUAAAUUGUUAAACAAUAAUGUAUGUAUAAAUAAGUUAAUAGAUCCUUUUUAAAGAUUUAAAGAUUAAGUUACUUUAGGGAUAACAGCGUAAUUUCUUUUGAGAGUCCAUAUCGAAAAAGAAGAUUGUGACCUCGAUGUUGAAUUAAAAUAUCUUUAUAAUGUAGCUGUUAUAAAAGAAAGUCUGUUCGACUUUUAAAUUUUUA
rnacentral:rRNA from 1 species